rnacentral:lncRNA from 1 species
UCCCAGCCUUGUGUAAAUAAAAUGGACAAAAUUAACACUCUAUCUUCCACUAAGAAAAAUAAUGGGAAUACAAAAAAUAAUCUCACCAAACACCAGUGGCUAAACUCUCUCUUGGUUUUUCUCUAAAGAGGAUUUUCUCUCACACACAAGUGAGGUUUUCUUAUCUCUCAAAACUCUCUAUGUUUUGGUUUUCUAAAGGAUGAUUUGAACUAAAUGAAGGCAGCUGCUUUUAUAGCCAACGUUCCUGAAAAAUUGAUGGCCUUGUAUGCGAGAGAGUUUUUCUCAUUUUCUCUUCCGUUCGUUUUCUUCAAAUUUUCCCGUCCUUUCUUUUAUUUUAUUUUAAUAUUUAUUUUCCUUCUUUUUCUCUCCUCCACUAACGAGGGAAACCCAUCAAUCUCCCCCUCCCGACUUAGGUGGAGGGCUCCAGCCGUCUAGCUGCUCUUCUGCAAAAUUCGUACUUGUCCUUAGGUAAGGACUUCGUCAUCAUAUCUGAACUAUUGUCAUCAGUAUGGAUUUUCUCAAGCUGUAAUUGCUUUGACUCCAACACAUCACGUAUCCAGUGAUAUCGCUCAUCAAUGUGCUUCGACCUCGAGUGAAAACUCGGAUUCUUGCUCAAGUGGAUCGCACUCUGACUAUCGCAAUGCAAAAUGUAUUUGUGCUACUCUUGCCCUAAUUCUUGUAGGAAUCGCUUCAUCCAAAGCAUUUCUUUGCAUGCUUCAGUAGCUGGAAUAAACUCUGCCUCUGUAGUUGAUAGAGCAACACAUUUCUGUAACUUUGAUUGCCACGAAACUGCUCCCCCUGAAAAUGCAAUCAGGUAUCCUGAAGUAGAUUUUCUGGAAUCAAGAUCUCCUGCCAUGUCUGCAUCUGUGUAGCCAAUCAAUUCAGGUUUUCCACCUCCAAAGCACAAACUCAUUUUGGAAGUACCCCUGAGAUAUCUGAGAACCCACUUAACAGCAUUCCAAUGGUCUCUGCCUGGUUUAGACAGGAAUCUGCUUACAACGCCAACUGCGUGCGUUAUGUCUGGCCUUGUGCAAAUCAUUGCAUACAUCAGACUACCAACAGCUGAGGAAUAUGGCACCAUAGCCAUGUUUUCUUUUUCUUUCUCACAUGUGGGACUCUGCUUUGAACUAAGCUUGAAGUGACUAGGAAAUGGAGUAGAAACUGGUUUUGCUUUAUCCAUGUUAAACCGCUUUAGUACCUUCUCGAUAUAACUUUCUUGUGAUAACCUCAACUUCCGAUUUUUUCUAUCACGGAUAUACUCAUACCGAGGAUUCAUUUUGCGGGUCCUAAGUCUUUCAUAGCAAAAGACUUGCUCAACUCCUUCUUCAGCUUGUUAAUCUUGUCACUGUUUUGUCCUACGAUCAACAUGUCAUCGACAUAGAGAAGAAGUAUGAUGAAUUCACAAUCAUCAAAUCUUUUCACAAAUACACAAUGGUCUGAAGUAGUCCUUCGAUAUCUAUGUUCAAUCAUGAAGGAAUCAAACUUCUUGUACCAUUGUCGAGGCGCCUGCUUGAGUCCAUAUAAGCUCUUCUUCAGCCGACAUACCAAAUCUUCUUUUCCUUUGACUUUGAAUCCUUCUGGCUGCUCCAUGUAGAUUUCUUCUUCAAGAUCUCCGUGAAGAAAAAGCUGUCUUCACAUCUAGCUGUUCGAUCUCGAGAUUCAGGCUUGCAGCUAAACCGAGAAGAACUCGUAUGGAUGACAUCUUCACUACGGGUGAGAAAAUCUCUUCAAAGUCAAUUCCUUUCUUCUGACUGAAACCUUUCACAACUAGCUUUGCCUUAAACCUGAGCUUAGAGUUGUUUUCUUCCGUCUUCAGUCGAUACAACCAUUUGUUCUUGAGUGCUCUUCUACCUUUUGGUAGGUUCACUAGAUCAUAUGUGUGGUUCUCAUGCAGAGAUUGCAUCUCUUCAUGCAUGGCUUUCAACCACUCAUCUUGUUGAUCAUGAGUCAAUGCUUCUUUAUAGCAUUCUGGUUCUCCCCCGUCUGUUAGGAGAACGUAAUCAUAUGGAGAAUACCUACUCGGAGGUCUCUGUACCCUGGUCGAUCUUCUUGGCUGGAAUUCGGCUUCUGGCUCUUCAUCGGCUUGUGCUUCUAGCCCUUCAUUUUCUGUAUCAUCUAUUAUACCAUCAGUUGUAUGACCAUCACUCAUGUCACCAUCAACUGGUUCAUUUAUAAUAGGAUCACUAGCUAGAUCAUCAGUAUCAUUGGAUUCAUCUUGCUCGUCAUUGUGCUCCAAUGGGGAAGGAACUGGAUCUAAGUUAGCUGGAUAUUCUCUAGGAUUAUUAGGUUUAUCACCUCUUCGAAUGUCUUCAAUGUUCUGAUCUUCAAAAAAGACAACAUCUCUACUUCUAAUAAUCUUUCUAGCUAUAGGAUCCCAUAACCUAUAAUCGAAUUCUUCAUUCCCAUAUCCCACGAAGAUACAUUCUUUCGACUUUGCGUCGAGCUUGGAUCUCUCGUCUUUAGGAAUAUGAACAAAAGCUCUACAACCAAAAACUUUCAAAUGAUUGUAGGAAACGUCUUUUUUCCGACCAGAACUUGUUCGGGACAUCACCAUUCAAAGGUGCUGAAGGAGAAAGGUUGAUUAGAUCAACCGCAGUCAUCAGGGCUUCACCCCAAAAACUUUUGGGCAGCUUGGCAUGAGAUAACAUUGUUCUUAUUCUUUCAACAAUUGUUCUGUUCAUUCUCUCAGCUAUGCCAUUAUGCUGAGGAGUCUUCGGAACAGAUCUUUCAUGCCUGAUUCCAUUACUUCUACAGUAAUUUCUAAAUGCCCCCAUAUAUUCUCCUCCGUUAUCAGUGCGAAUACAUUUGAAGCUUCUACCAGUCUCUCGUUCAACGCUAGCAUGAAACUGCUUGAAAACUUCAUACACUUGAUCUUUUGUUCUAAGUGCGUAAGCCCAUACCUUCCUGGAAUGAUCGUCAAUGAAGGUAACAAAAUAUCUUGCACCACCAAGAGUACUAGUGGUCAUAGGACCACAAACAUCAGAGUACACAACAUCCAAUACAUUGGGUUUUCUUUGUGCAUGACCAUAUUGAAACGAAGCUCUAUGCUGCUUUCCAGCCAAGCAAUGCGUGCAUGAUUUUAGAGGCAUGCCUUUCUUCGUCCCAGUCAGUGCCUCUCUUUUGACUAGAAUUUGCAGCCCUUUCUCGCUCAUGUGACCGAGCCGUCUAUGCCAUAGCUCGAUUGAGUCUUCUGCGAGAGCAUUUACGUACCCAUUACUGACUUUUGCAUGUGUCAUGUAUAGGGUGUUCUCCUUUUUCCCUCGUGCUAGAACAAGAGAGUUCUUGCUGAGUUUCCAUUUCCCUUCAUCGUCAAGUAAUCCAGUGGAGAUUAGAUUGAGACGCAUGUCUGGAACAUGUCUCACAUCCUUGAGGACCAAGUGACAACUUGUGUUGGUUUCAAGGGAAAUAUCUCCUCUUCCCACGAUCUUGGACAAUUUUUCAUUUCCCAUCCUCACAUUACCAAAAUCUCCAUUGGUGUAAGAUGUAAAGAAGUCCCUCCGUGAGGUGACAUGAAAUGAUGCACCAAAGUCCACUAUCCAGCAUGUAUCUUGAGAGGAAAAGUUAAUGAAACCAUCACCACAUAGAAUAAGUACCUCAUUUCCACCAGAGGUAGUUGCGGUCGUGUGCCUGACAUCACUCUUUUUGUUACCUCUAUCUUACUCUCGUUUAAACAACCUGCACUCUCUCUUCAUGUGGCCUAUCCCGCCACAAUGGUAACAUUCUAGGUCCUUUCUUGUCUUGGACCUUCCUCUCAAGCCAUCUCUUGACCUGCCCUUUGACUUGUCUCGUCUGUGGAAUUUUCUAUUGUUAGUUCUUCCACGAUACUCUGAGACGAGGGCUUCUGACUCGGCUACUACACCUUGUUCUUUCCUCCUUACUUCUUCAUUGAACAUGCUAUCUUUAACUAUAUCCAAUGUAAGAACGCCUUGAGGAGCUGAAUUGCUUAAGGAUACUACUAGUGUAUCCCAGCUAUCAGGCAAAGAACUGAGUAACAUUAGUGCUUGUAACUCAUCAUCAAUCACCAUCUUCAUAUUCGUCAACAGGUUGAUCAAACCUUGGAAGUCACUGAGAUGCUCGGUAACACUUCGACCAUCUCUGUACUUAAGGUUUACCAACCGUCGGAUAACCGAUGCUUUAUUUUGAGCGGUCUUCUGCUCGUACAUGGAAGACAAUUUUGUCCAUAAUUUGUAUGCAUCCGUCUCUUGUGCCACAUGGUGGAACACACUUUGAUCCACCCAUUGUCGGAUUUGUCCUACAACUUUUCUAUUCAGAAUGCUUCAUGCAUCGUCUGACUUCCCUGCUGGUUUUUGUCCCAGCAAUUGAAGGGGCUCAUACAAAUCCUUGCAGUAAAGGAUGUCCUCCAUUCUUGAAUUCCAAAUGGAGUAAUUGGAUGCAGUCAAUUUUAACAUUGUUGCUGAUGAUGAUGACGAUGACUCCUCCAUCUUAAAUUACACAAGAAUAUAAUUUUUGAGCCAAAGCUCUGAUACGACUUGUUGGGAAAGAUUACGAAAAAUCAAAGAGCCAAUAAAUAAAUAUGGCACUCCCAGGAUCUGACUUCUCCCAGCCUUGUGUAAAUAAAAUGGACAAAAUUAACACUCUAUCUUCCACUAAGAAGGAAUACAAAAAGUAAUCUCACCAAACACCGGUGGCUAAACUCUCUCUUGGUUUUUCUCUCAAGAGGAUUUUCUCUCACACACAAGUGAGGUUUUCUUAUCUCUCAAAACUCUCUAUGUUUUGGUUUUCUAAAGGAUGAUUUGAACUAAAGGAAGGCAGCUGCUUUUAUAGCCAACGUUCCUGACAAAUUGAUGGCCUUGCAUGCGAGAGAGUUUUUCUCAUUUUCUCUUCCGUUCGUUUUCUUCAAAUUUUCCCGUCCUUUCUUUUAUUUUAUUUUAAUAUUUAUUUUCCUUCUUUUUCUCUCCUCCACUAAUGUGGGAAACCCAUCACAUACAUAAAAGGAGGAAUUUUUCUCUCCUCCACUAACGAGGGAAACCCAUCACAUACAUAAAAGGAGGAAAUAAAACGCACACACACACAAAGGAAGAAGAAGAGGGAACCCUAACUUAGAGCUAUAACAGCACUCUGAUUCUCACCUUUUGAGCUGCAGCAUAGAGCUCACAAAUCAUAUCACUCAAUAAUAGACUAAUGACAUAUAAUAGCAGCACUCUUAUUCUGACCUUUUAAUCUUCUUAAUUGUCUUUGAAAUGUAUUUAAAACCUUGGGAAAAUCCUUCAUUCAAAGGAAAUAGCGUGAGCCCAAACACAGAGACAGGAAGAAGGGCAACCACAUAAAUGAGGGACGUUCCAAGUCUUUUGAUGAUGAAUCAAGAGCACAAUAGUAGCAGUGAAGGUCAGCAUGGUGGCUACCAGCGAGAAGAAUAGAAGGGCGAAUCCUAAAUGCAGCCUGACGGGAAGAGAAUGGUGAAAGUUUUCGUACUCAAACGAGGAAGUCAGGAUAGAGAGAAACGUGCCCAAAGAAAUCAAUGAGCAGAUGAGCGAGAUAGUGUCCGAAAUAGUGAAUGUGAUGAAGAAAGGAGAAUGACGGAGAACAGGAACCCGUCUGUUAUCAUUACCCCGGGGAACCGUAAAGGCGGCUGCAUAGGCCACCAAAGCCGCCAUGGUCGAGUACGACUGUACGACUGAGCUGUCUCUUUUAUCCAUCCUUUUGCCGACGUAAUUAGACUUGAAUGCUCACUUUCAAAGAGCUCCUUCGCUGUCACACCCUGAUUGUUCCGGUGCAUGAAGUAAUGAGGUGGCGUUAUCUUUUCCACACGCUGCCCACAAAUGGAAAGUUGUUGAGGAUGAACCAUUUUGAUCAGCGUAAACAUAACUAGUUUCAUUUCAUAUUUAAUAUAUAACUAUAAUCAGCUCUUAGUUCAAUGAUACUUCUCUUUGCAAUGUUCAAAGAUAAUUAUUAAAAUUAGGGAAUUAGGUGUAUAUAUAUAAAUAAAACUCACUCACCGCCAUCCAACGCAAUUCUUCUUGCAACUGAAACAGGACCACUUAUGCGUUUAGUGCUACAGAGUAAAAACUCAUGUCUGCAACGUGGUGCAAUAUGGUGUUCCCAUACUAAUCAAUCCUGUAAGCCAAUCUUGACGUUGUCAAUUUUCUCUUUUCUUAAAUGUUAAAGAUGGCUAGCCGACGAUGCUUAAUGGCCAUGUGCAGAAUGUUUUGUUUGUUGUCAAUAUCGUGCGCAUCCACCGCUUGAGGGUGAGCCUUCAACAUCUUUUUCACAAUUUGUGAUAUUCCGGGGAAGUGGGGUAUAUUUAUAAGUAGAUUUACUAUUUUGUGAUAUUCCAUUUUCUUUGCGAACACAAUUAUCAGCACCUUUUCCCACCUCUGAAUACACCAGAGUAAAUGUCUUGAUGUCAUCGGUUGGUUCUUCAUAUUUUGCCCAUGAAUAGUCCUCCUCCACCAGCAAAUCAGUGAGUUCCGAUAGUAUUUUUCGAUUUUGCAUUUCCUCCAACAUUAUCGAUUCGUCACCAUCCUAGUAAGUUAUAAUCAUUAUAUUAUAUAUACGCAUCCCUAUUAUUAUUCAGUGGAGAUAUUGAUGAAGAAGGAACAAAAAAGAAAAGAAAAGUGUUAGUAUGAAAAUUGUAUUGUCAUUUCCUAGACUCUAGCAAAGGUUGGGAAUUAGUGUGUGAAUAUUGCUUACUGGAAGUUUUGGCGCAACACAUUCAAUCCCGGAUUUUCGUAGUGUGACUUGAUCGAUAUGAGGAAGCUGAUUUCAGGUAAAUCAUGACAUAAUCAUGCAUUCAUUAUAGGAUUCCUAAUUGGGGUUAUUUUCAAUCAAGUAUUUUUAUGUUAAUCUUAUUUUUAAUAGAAUUAGAUUUUAUCUCUUAAGAUUACUUUCCUAUAGUUGGACUCGAUUUUGAUUUACGUUAAAAUAUCAGCGUUUUGGUGUCAUCACUUUGAGUACAUAUUGAAUCAUAAUUCAUAUUCAUAAUUGGAUAGUAGUUUGUCUUCUAGUUGGCGUCUUAAUAAAGAGCAUAUAUUGGAUCAGGUUGUAGUGUUAUAGUUGGAGAGAAUUAAUGCUCUCUUGGGUUUCUCUUCUUCAGCAGAAAACAUGUAUUGAAGGGUGGUUUUCUAUUCAAACGUGGGCUUUUCAACGUGUUGAACUUUUGGGGAUAUUGAAUUUGUUUUUAGAAAGCCGCUAUGCAUAUUGUUCAGAUAAGUCAUCAAAUGUUCCUUGUUUACUUGUGAUUUAUCAUAUUCUUUCAUCAUUCAUAUUGCAUUCAUUUGUAUUGUUAGGUGACUCAUAUGGUUGAGGGCACCAACACUGACCAUUCAAUGAUUCAAAGAUUCAAAGAUUCAAAGAUUAGGCUAAACGGUAACCGUCUGAUUGUGCGAUCGCGAGCAAUCCGACCGUUCGAUUCAGACCAAACUUGCAGGACAUGUAUAAUAAACCUUGUUGAACCCAUAGGAACUUUCGAAUUGAAAAUCGGAAGUCAUGGGCCCCAUGGGUCCAGUUGACCAAAUUUGAAAAGUUUGACCACUCGGUUGACCGAGCGUCUUCUGUGGUUAUUCCAUCACUCGAAACACAUAGUUGAACCUUGGGAACUUCCUAUCCAUCAUACACACUUGAAUCCCAAGAAACUAGGAAUUUAUUUUAAAGUUCUCGUUCGAACUAUUUAAAUUAAUUUAGUCUUCGUAUUCUUAAAUAGGUACUCUGACCCAACGUACGCAAUAGGCGGGACUAUUAUGGAAGUAUUGGAAUUAUAUUCGAAUAAUUGUGGCUUAUGAAUAUUUUGAAUGGAUAUGUGCUAUUUUUGAGAAUGUUAUUUAUACUUGGAUAUGUGUUGAGUACAUGUGUUUGUUGAAAAUAGUUUAUGAAAUGUGGAUUGGGUUGUGGUUAAGUUAGUUUUGAGUGCUAUUAGCACUACCUUAUGUACCUCCCCGGAUUUGAAAUACUUGGAUUGAAAAUUUGGAACUAUGGGAUAUUUGGAUAUGUCGGAACCCGGGCACCCUUGACGAGGUGUUUCGUAGACAAUUAGUGGGGUUAGUCUGCGCUCGUAAGAUUUGUCAUAAGCGUACGAGUAUUGAGGAUUCUGCUGUAUGUGCUGGUGAGCCUAGUCCCCUGGUUGGACGGCUCAUUCUCUAGCCACAUGGUCAAUUGAGGAUUCUUCCAUGUGGUCUAGUCAAACAAUCCCCCGGUUGGAUUGUUUCCCCAGUACAAGUUUGGUAAUAGCCAUACUUAUAUAUAUGUAGAUAUAUAUUAUAUUUAAUAUGUAUAUAUAGAUACCUAUACAUUUAUUCUUGUUUAUCGAUGAGGAUACAUCCUUGCUUGUAGUGCCAAUGAGCACGCAAUUCAAUAUAAUAGUUUGGGGAAAAUGAAAAAGGUUUUGGAAUGGGAUAGGUGUUAAUAUGCUAUUACGAGAAUAUGGACUCCACAAUGGUUUUGACUUAGCUAUAUAUAUACUUUGGUUUUGAAUGCAUGUCGUUUUUAGCAUCGUUUUCUAAAUGGUGGGGUCAUUAUAGGUUGUUUUCAAAUAUAACGAAACUUUGUUCUUGUCCACUCACACAUUUUCUGUUUUGUGCCCCCUAGGCAGUAGAUAGACUCGUACCGAGCGGUCGAAUCGAGAUAGUCACUUCUGGGCCCGAUCUCUUGUAGUAUGACUUUUCUUCGUUUUAUUUCCGUUGAACUUUUUGUUUCACUUGUAAAAUCAAUUUCAUUAGAUAUGCUCUGUUCCUGCCCAUGCUAGGGUUGGAUGUAAGGUCGGAGGCCUAUUAUGCAAACUGCAUGAAUUUACAUUGUCCAUGCUGUCGGUUGGUGUUUAUAAUUGUGUUUUUAAUUGGUUGAAAAUUUUGGAAAAUGUCCAUUUUUUAGGGGAGACUCUUCUGAAAUUUUAGUAGAAAGUCUUGUCCCUUUUUAGUAAGUGGGCACGACAUCAGUUUGAUGUUGGAAAUACCACAGAAUUCGUUCCGGAUUCCGAGGAUUUCAAGGUGGGUCCUGUCAAUUCUCAAAUAAGAUUAUUUGAGGGAUCCCUCAACUAAAGCUCUCUAUGUGUGUACACACACACACACACACACACACACACACACACACACACACACACACACAUAUUUAUAUAUUGAAGGGAAAUCACUUGAAUCCGAAACCAUUUGACCACUCAAUUAGAUGGGUGUUAUUAUAGUAUAUUCUUGAAGCACCCUGCUCGUCUAUUUUGUUGGCCUUAAUUAGAUGCCUUAAUGAUUUUCAAUUUUCAUAAUUUUUUGCAAGGACAAUCCAUGAAUAAACAUGUUAAAAAUAGAUGGUUUGGAUCGUUCAAAAAAAGUUCGUAAGGGACCCUAAAUGGUGUCUCCUCAAAUAAGCUUAUUUGAGGGACACCCCUUGUAGGCCCCACUCCGGAUUGUAUUUCACUAAUCCAAACCAUCUAUUUUGUAGAUACUCAUUCAAAGAUCACCUCUACAAAAAAUCACUUGAAUAUGAUAUCAUUUGACCACUCAAUUAAGUUAUUGAAAUUUUAGCAUUUUCUUAAAGCACCGUGUUCAUUGAUUUUGUAAGACACAAUUGGAUGUCGAAACGGUUUCCAGUUUGUCUAAUUUUUUGUAAGGACGAUCUAUGAAUGAAGGCCUAAAAAAUAGAUAAUUUGGAUUAUUGGGAAAAAAAAAAAAUUAGGGUACCCUAAAAGGCAUCCCUCAAAUAAAAUUAUUUGAGGGAUCCCUCAAUAGAAGGGGACUAUAUAUAUAUAUAUAUAUAUAUCCUGUCUAAUGUUUAGAUAUUCCCUCAAAGAUUAUCUGUGCAAAAAUAAUUUGAAUCCGAAAUAAUUUGACCACUCAAUUAGAUUAUUUUAGUAAUUUCUUGAAGUACCGUGUUCGUCGAUUUUGUUGCUUGCAGUUAGAUGCGUUAAUGAUUUUCAAUUUAUUUUAUUUUUUACAAUGAAGAUUUAUGAAUGAAGACGUGAAAAAUUGACGGUUUAGAUCGUUUAAAAAAAAAUCAUAGGCGUACUCCAAGGGGCGUCUCUCAAAUACAAUUAAAGUCUAAACCUACACCAGGUUUAACAAAAAAGUUUCUUAUGCUAUUUGGACGGUAUUUAUUGGCCAUAUUGAUGACCCUAAACCCUAGUAGCAACAGCCUUUCAUAUUAUGGAAAAAUAACUUUUAUUUUUUAUUUUUAACAAAAUAAGUUGUUUUUAAGAUUUUAUGCAAGGAUGACAUUAUAUAUGAUAAACACAAACAAAACACACACAUACACAUAUAUAACUUUGAAAGUUUGAUUAAUUACCCGUAGUCUUCCUUGAACAACUAGAUUGGCAAGGCUGACUGAUCCUGUGACAGGACCCGCCUCGAAAUUUUUCGAAAACCGAAGCGGACCCCGUCUUUGUUCCGACAUCACCUCGAUGCCGGGCCCACUUACUAAAAACAGAGACUCACUACCAAAAUUUGGCAGAGCCUCCCCUGUGAAUUGAACAAACCCAACAAAAUUUAACAUGCAUAAAAAUACAAUAAUCCCAACCAGCAGCAUGCUUUAAAGCGAAUAAAAAGUUUACAACAAAAUGGCCUCCGGCCUCACAAAUUAAACCCUAACAGGGGCAAUAACAGAGCAUGACUAAGAACUUCAAUUUCAACAAAACAGAGUUCAAAGGGAAUAACAUGAAGAAAGAGUCCUACGAAGGAUCAAGGCUCGGAAGCGCAGGAUCCGGUUCUGCUGCGGAGCUCAGUCAACUACUGGUUGGGGGGGGCAAAACAGAAAAUUGUGAGUGGACAAAAAUAAAUUCAGUUCAGUGUAAACCAAUGUAAUAGAACCCCACCGUUUAGAAAAUCAUGCAAGAAAUCCCAUGCAUCUCAAAACCAUCAUACUCAAGUAUAUAUAUAAAAUAUAUAUAAAAAAACAAAUCAAUACCAGAUGCCAAGUCCGAAACCCAUAAAGAACGCUUUACAAAACCCACCAUCCAAAACUUAUAAAUCCCACAACUAAACUCUCGAAAGCGUACCCAUUGGUACGACUGGCAAGGAAGUAUCCUCACCGAAAAACAAGAAUGAAUGAAUAUAUAUAAAUAUAUAAUAUAAGAGAUAUAUAAUAUAAAUAUGACCAUCACCUGGUUGUACCGGGGAAACAAUCCAACCGGGGGAUUGUUUGACUAGUCACCCUGGCAGAGUCCUCAUGAAGAGUCCUUAAUCCACCAUGUGACUAGGGAACGAGUCGUCCAACUGUGGGACUAACUCUCAGCCAUCACGUACCGUCGAUAGCCUCAAAACCCGUACGUCUGUGAUCAGUCUUACGCGCACAGACUACCCAAUCAAGGGUCUACAGCAACAUCCCGUCAAGGAUGCCCCGGGUUCCGACAAUUCCAAGUAUCUCAAGUCUCUAUAUCUAAGUUCCAAAUUCAGGGAGGUACAUAGGGUGGUGCUUAUAGCACUCCAAACUGACAUUCUAUACUCAUCACUUUCUACAAUCUCAUCUUAACAACCCAAGUGCCCCACACAUAGCCAAACAUAUAUAGAAAUCCUCAAAAUCCAUAUAUUCAUACUCAAGAUACUCAAAUAUGUCAAAACCCAAAAUAUAUUUCCAAUGCCUCAUAAAAAUAUCACUUUCAACAAUUAAAUAAAUAAUAUAUCCAAAAUACCAUUUAAAACAUCAUGCAUAAUAUUUCCCAAAAUUCAUAUAAAAUAUACUUUCAAUACCCAACUAUGCCAAACCCACAAUAUAUUGCCAAAGCGCUAUACAAACAUCAAAUUCAACCCAUGAAUAUAAUAUAUUCAAUAAAUCAUUAAAAACAUUAUGCAUAAAUCUUUCAUCAAUAAAACCAUGCAUAAGAUUUGAAAAAAAAGUCCACUCACAAGUAGUCCCACGCUGCUUGACCUUGAGAGGGUCCCGCCUGUUGCGUAUGCAUGGUCGGAGUACCUAUUUCAGAAUACGUAUACGAGAUUAAUACGAAGCGUUUCGAACGAGUACUUUGAAUUUAAUAUCCUAAUUUCCCAGGUUUCUAGUAAGUGUACUAGGAACGAGACGUUCUAAGGUCCAACUACCCAAUUUGGACGAUGGAACUGCUUCGGGAGACACUCGGUCAACCGACGGUCAACCUUCCCAAUUCGGGUCAACCGGGCCCAUGGGACCCACACCCUCCGUUUUACAACCCGAAAGUUCCUGAAAGUUUCACGAGGUCUAAGAUACCCGUCUCGCAAGUUUGGUCUGAAACGGACGGUUAGAUCGCUUACGAUCGCACGAUCGGACGGUUAUUAUAAAACAUAAACUUUAAGUUAUUGAAUUGGAACAUCCGGGGCUCUGAUUCACAAUCCGCGAAUUCCUAUACGAUCCUAGGAAUACCUAGAACAACAUAUAUUGAUUGGGAAACAAUCCAAUGGUCAAAACCUAUCGAACCCGGAUAAUGCACAAUAUGCGAAAAUCCGUUCGAUAGUCAAACGAUGUCUGAAUUGAGAUCCGCAAAAUCCUAUGCACUCGUGACAACCAGGAGAUCGCAUUGGGACAAUCAUGCCCCUCUGUAGUGCCCACAUUCCGCCAUAUGCGCCGGCAGCCCGCGGGUGUCCAAAGCGAUAAAGCUUCACCAGAAAAUCUCCAAAUUACAAGCCACCCUCCCAGCUACAGGUUCUACUCGACAAGUGGAACACUUUAUUCAACUACACCCAAGUCCAAUUCAGAUGGCAAGUGGUCGGAAUCGGCGUCGAAAACUCACAGUUUAACCCGGAACUUCACGACCUCGAUCCGGUGACCAUCGUUGCCAUUGUCGUCGCACAACCUAGGAAAUAGCUAGAAGGGGAGGAGAGCUACCUGUUCCAAGCGACGGCGCAGCUCACCAUGGCCAAAAACGUAGCCGUUGAUGUCGACAGUUUUGGCUGAUUUUUCACGUCGUUGCCACCGCUGUUUGCUGGGUUUUCGAUCGGAGAAAAGGGGUGGGCUGGGUAGAGGAGGAAGAGAGGAAGCUUUUGCAAGAAACGGCAACCGAAAUGGAGGUCAGACGGCGAAGUUCUCGCCCUCUGAAAUUCCGGCGAAAAAUUGAAUCGGGGAGGGGGGUUCAGCCGCGGGGAGAGAGAGAGAGAGAGAGAGAGAGAGAGAGAGAGAGAGAGAAGUCAGAUAUUUUUAAACCCAAAUUUUGAAAUAUUUACGGUUUUGCCAUUGUCGAUGUUUUGAUCAUAAUUUCUUCGUCACAACUCCAAAUUAAGUCUACCUUGUGUCUACGAAUUCUUCUCAGUAUCACCUACCCAAAAAUACCAGUCACUGCCCCCAAACACUUUCCGGACAAGAAAAUGACCAAUUUACCCCUAUCCUAAGGGUAAAUUCGUAAAUUCACUUAAAUAAUUUAAAAUAGGAAUUAAAUUUGGAGUCGGGGUGUUACAUCCUGCUCUCCAAGUCAUUGUAAAACCCCGACUCCAAAUUUAAUCCCAUAUUUAAAUUAUUUAAGUGAAAUUACGAAUUUACUAUUUGGGUAGGGGUGUUUCGAACAUUUUAUUACCCGAAAAGAGUUUGGGGCAGUGACUGGUAUUUUUAGGUAGAUCGUACUGAUAUGAGUUCGUAGACACGUAGUGGGCUCAAAUAGGAGUUUUAACGAAGAAGUUACUUGCAAAACAUCACCAAUGGUAAAAUCGUAAAUAUUUCAAAAUGGGUUUUUUAAUAAAAAAAAAUUGAAAAACCCUCUCUCUCUCUCUCUCUCUCUCUCUCUCUCUCUCUCUCCCCUAUCGCUAACAUCCCCCCUCCUCUUCCUUUUCACAGCCACCACCCUCCAAGGCUGUUGCCGCCGCCAUAGUCAACGACCGGCCUCGAGACCGGUCCCAUUCGAACCGCCACCUCUCCCUCAUCCUUUCCCAACUGGUCUCAGCCAUCCCCGUCCACUGUGCUCGCCGGAAUCCAUCGAUAACGAGCCAGUUUUGACAGAACUUCUCACCGCUCGAUCUCUCUCCUCCAGCCACCAAUUACGUCUGGUGAGGUAUGAUUUCUCAUCUAUUUUCCGAGCUCUAGCUGUCUAUGGGAUAGGAUUGGAUCGAUUUGCUGUCUAGAAAACCGAUUUGAAAACCUAAGUUUUGACCAGAUUUCAAAGUGAAAUUCUGGCCAGUUGCCGUCCGAAUUGGACCUCCCCAUAGUUGAAUGAAGUGAUUCUUGCCUCGAGUAGUAGCUAGGAUGGGAAGGGUGAGCAGUUGUGUGGAGUUUUUCCGUCACCAGAAUUUACUCUACACACCCACACGCUGCCGGCAGGUGUGGCGGCCCAUGAGCAAGGGUGGUGAAGCUACACUUUGUCCUGAUGAGGUCCUCAGGUUGUCAUGAGUGCGUAAGAUUUCGCGGAUCUCGAUUCAAAAUUCGUUUGACUAUCGAACGGAUUUCGCAUAUUGUGCGUUAUCUGGGUUCGAUAGGUUUGAAUGGUUGGAUAGUCUUAGAUUUAUUAUAUUUUAGUCUGCACAUCCUCAGGAUCGUAUAGGAUUCAACGGAUCGUAAAACGGAGUCCCGGAUACUCCGAAAAUGCCAACCUUAGGGCUAUGUUUAUAGUAUCCGUCCGAUCGUGCGAUCGUGAGCGAUCCGACCGUCUGAUUUGGACCAAAUUUGCAGGACGGGUGUCCUAAACCUUGUAGGACCCAUAGGAACUUUAGGUAGCUUGAAUCGGAAUUUGAAGGUCGUGGGGCCUGUGGGCCCGUUUGACCAAGUUUGGGUAGUUUGACCCUUGGUUGAUCGUGAGUCUUCUGAGGUAGUUUUACCUUCCUAGGAUGAUUAUAAUGACCCUAGUGACAUGUCUUGAGCGUUAUUGAGCUAUGUUGACUAGGUUGAGAUUUUUAGAGUGUUUAGUAUUAUUGUAGGAAACUCUUAGAUAUUAUUUUAAUAAUUGAAAUUAUGAAAUUUAUGUUUAUGUGCGUUAUUGUUGGUCUAAAAAUAAUAUUAUUUUUCUGAUGAAAUUACGUUGUAGUCUACUAUAGACUGGUGUCACUAAAUUAUGAUUACCUCUAGUAUUAGUUUAGAAAAUUAAGAGUAUGUCAGUUUGAAGUGCUAUACGCACUACCCUAAAGUACCACCCUGUGUUUGUCAAGUCACCCGUGGAAUAGGAUUUUCCGAUGGGAUGACAGACCCCAUACAUGACGUAUGGGGAGAUUAUGUGAUUGUUAAGUCCCACAUGGCGUAGGUUAUCCGGCGUGAGGACAGACCCUAUAUGUGACGUUGGAAUUUUCGGCGUAUGGAGAUGCUAUGAUUGUUAGGUCACACGUGGCGUAGGUGAUCCGGCGUGCUGACAGACCCUAUACGUGGCGUUGAAAUUUCAGACGUAUGGGGAGAUUAUGUGAUUGUGAGGUCACCUGUGGCGUAGGAUUUUUCGGCGGGAUGACAGACCCCAUACGUGACGUUGGAAUUUCCGGCAUCUGGAGAAAUGUGAUUGUUAGGUCCCACGUGAGGUAGGUUAUCCGACGUGAGUACAAACCCCAUAUGUGGCAUUGGAAUUUCCGGCAUAUGGGGAGAUUAUGUGAUUGUUAGGUCUCGCGUGGCGUAGGAUUUUCCAGCGUUGAGACAAACCCCAUACAUGGUGUUGGAAUUUUCGGCGUAUAGGGAGAUUAUGUGAUUAACAGAGAGAUGAAUAAAGGUAUAUUGUGUGUUUGGAAUCGGAAUUUAGUGGGAAGAACUAUGUGUGGCUUGAUCCCUUAGUGAGGAUACGUAGGCAGCCUAAGGUUAUUAGGUGUAGCUGCGGACAUAGAUGUAAUUGUAUUAGGAGGUUAAAACCUCGUAUGAUGAAAUUGGAAAAGUUUUAUGAUGUAUGUUGUAUUUAGUAUUCAUAAUUCAUAGUUGAGUUUAUUAUGUGCCUUGCUGAAAGCAAUAUUUGGCUCAAGAGCCUUGUGGGUAGUUUGGUUUCGCUUCGGUUUUUGUGAGGGCCGAAGGCCGAGUUUGUGAAUUGCAUGAAAUUAUAUUGUGUGUGCUGCCUGUUGGGUUAUUAAAUGUGUUUUAUGCAGGUCGAGAAAUUUGGGGAAUGAUCAAUUUACAGGGGAGACUCUGCCGAAAUUUCGGCAGAAAGUCCCGGUCUUUAGUAAGUGGGCCCGAUAUCGGGGUGAUGUCGGGAAUUCCACAGGAUUCGUCUCGGGUUUCAGGAAAUUCAGAGCUGGUCCUGUCAAUCAUCCUUUUGAUUCGGUGGGACAUCAUCAGUAGAAGGGAAAAUGCCUAAAUGUAUAAUAAGGGGAGCACAAAGAUCAGCAUUAUCACUAUUAGAAAGGCUUCCAUAAAUAAAGGGGGCACUAUUCUUGCUCCAUAAGCUUGGCUUGGACUUCAUUCUGAGAGUGUAACUACCAAUGGUAAUUCUUUUAAGAAAAAUCAAAGAGCUAAUAAAUAAAUAUGGCACUCCCAGGAUCUGACUUCUCCCAGCCUUGUGUAAAUAAAAUGGACAAAAUUAACACUCUAUCUUCCACUAAGAAAAAUAAUGGGAAUACAAAAAUAAUCUCACCAAACACCGGUGGCUAAACUCUCUCUUGGUUUUUCUCUCAAGAGGAUUUUUUCUCUCACACAAGUGAGGUUUUCUUAUCUCUCAAAACUAUCUAUGUUUUGGUUUUCUAAAGGAUGAUUUGAACUAAAUGAAGGCAGCUGCUUUUAUAGCCAACGUUCCUGACAAAUUGGUGGCCUUGCAUGCGAGAGAGUUUUUCUCAUUUUCUCUUCCGUUCGUUUUCUUCAAAUUUUCCCGUCCUUUCUUUUAUUUUAUUUUAAUAUUUAUUUUCCUUCUUUUUCUCUCCUCCACUAAUGAGGGAAACCCAUCAAUCUCCCCCUCCCGAUUUGGGUGGAGGGCUCCAGCAGCCCAGCUGCUAUUCUGCAAAAUUCGUACUUGUCCUUAGGUAAGGACUUGGUCAUCAUAUCUGAACUAUUGUCAUCAGUAUGGAUUUUCUCAAGCUGUAAUUGCUUUGACUCUAACACAUCACGUAUCCAGUGAUAUCGCACAUCAAUGUGCUUCGACCUCGAGUGAAAACUCGGAUUCUUGCUCAAGUGGAUCGCACUCUGACUAUCGCAACGCAAAAUGUAUUUGUGCUGCUCUUGCCCUAAUUCUUGAAGGAAUCGCUUCAUCCAGAGCAUUUCUUUGCAUGCUUCAGUAUCUGCAAUAAACUCUGCCUCUGUAGUUGAUAGAGCAACACAUUUCUGUAACUUUGAUUGCCACGAAACUGCUCCCCCUGAAAAUGUAAUCAGGUAUCCUGAAGUAGAUUUUCUGGAAUCAAGAUCUCCUGCCAUGUCUGCAUCUGUGUAGCCAAUCAAUUCAGGUUUUCCACCUCCAAAGCACAAACUCAUUUUGGAAGUACCCCUAAGAUAUCUGAGAAUCCACUUAACAGCAUUCCAAUGCUCUCUGCCUGGUUUAGACAGGAAUCUGCUUACAACGCCAACUGCGUGCGUUAUGUCUGGCCUUGUGCAAAUCAUUGCAUACAUCAGACUACCAACAGCUGAGGAAUAUGGCACCAUAGCCAUGUUUUCUUUUUCUUUCUCACAUGUGGGACUCUGCUUUGAACUAAGCUUGAAGUGACUAGGAAAUGGAGUAGAAACUGGUUUUGCUUUAUCCAUGUUAAACCGCUUUAAUACCUUCUCGAUAUAACUUUCUUGUGAUAACCUCAACUUCCGAUUUUUUCUAUCACGGGAUAUACUCAUACCGAGGAUUCGUUUUGCGGAUCCUAAGUCUUUCAUAGCAAAAGACUUGCUCAACUCUUUCUUCAGCUUGCUAAUCUUGUCACUGUUUUGUCCUAUGAUCAACAUGUCAUCGACAUAGAGAAGAAGUAUGAUGAAUUCACCAUCAUCAAAUCUUUUCACAAAUACACAAUGGUCUGAAGUAGUCUUUCUAUAUCUGUGUUCAAUCAUGAAGGAAUCAAACUUCUUGUACCAUUGUCGAGGCGCCUGCUUGAGUCCAUAUAAGCUCUUCUUCAGCCGACAUACCAAAUCUUCUUUUCCUUUGACUUUGAAUCCUUCUGGCUGCUCCAUGUAUAUUUCUUCUUCAAGAUCUCCGUGAAGAAAAGCUGUCUUCACAUCUAGUUGUUCGAUCUCAAGAUUCAGGCUUGCAGCCAAACCGAGUACAACCCGUAUGGAUGACAUCUUCACUACGGGUGAGAAAAUCUCUUCAAAGUCAAUUCCUUUCUUCUGACUGAAACCUUUCACAACUAGCCUUGCCUUAAACCUGGGUUUAGAGUUGUUUUCUUCCGUCUUCAGUCGAUACACCCAUUUGUUCUUGAGUGCUCUUCUACCUUUUGGUAGGUUCACUAGAUCAUAUGUGUGGUUCUCAUGCAGAGAUUGCAUCUCUUCAUGCAUGGCUUUCAACCACUCAUCUUGUUGAUCAUGAGUCAAUGCUUCUUUAUAGCAUUCUGGUUCUCCCCCGUCUGUUAGGAGAACGUAAUCAUCUGGAGAGUACCUACUCGGAGGUCUCCGUACCCUGGUCGAUCUUCUUGGUUGGAAUUCAGCCUCUGGCUCUUCAUCGGCUUGUGCUUCUAGCUCUUCAUCCGCUGCAUCAUCUGCUAUACCAUCAGUUGUAUGACCAUCACUCAUGUCACCAUCAACUGGUUCAUUUAUAAUAGGAUCACUAGCUAGAUCAUCAGUAUCAUUGGAUUCAUCUCGCUCGUCAUUGUGCUCCAAUGGGGAAGGAACUGGAUCUAAGUUAGUUGGAUAUUCUCUAGGAUUAUUAGGUUUAUCACCUCUUCGAAUGUCUUCAAUGUUCUGAUCUUCAAACAAGACAACAUCUCUACUUCUAAUAAUCUUUCUAGCUACAGGAUCCCAUAACCUGUAACCGAAUUCUUCAUUCCUAUAUCCCACGAAGAUACAUUCUUUCGACUUUGCGUCGAGCUUGGAUCUCUCGUCUUUAGGAAUAUGAACAAAAGCUCUACAACCAAAAACUUUCAGAUGAUUGUAGGAAACGUCUUUUCCUGACCAGAACUUGUUCGGGACAUCACCAUUCAAAGGUGCUGAAGGAGAAAGGUUGAUUAGAUCAACCGCAGUCAUCAGGGCUUCACCCCAAAAACUUUUGGGCAGCUUGGCAUGAGAUAACAUUGUUCUUAUUCUUUCAACAAUUGUUCUGUUCAUUCUCUCAGCUAUGCCAUUAUGCUGAGGAGUCUUCGGAACAGAUCUUUCAUGCCUGAUUCCAUUACUUCUACAGUAGUUUCUAAAUGCCCCCAUAUAUUCUCCUCCGUUAUCGGUGCGAAUACAUUUGAAGCUUCUACCAGUCUCUCGUUCAACGCUAGCAUGAAACUGCUUGAAAACUUCAUACACUUGAUCUUUUGUUCUAAGUGCGUAAGCCCAUACCUUCCUGGAAUGAUCGUCAAUGAAGGUAACAAAGUAUCUUGCACCACCAAGAGUACUAGUGGUCAUAGGACCACAAACAUCAGAGUACACAACAUCCAAUACAUUGGGUUUUCUUUGUGCAUGACCAUGUUGGAACGAAGCUCUAUGCUGCUUUCCAGCCAAGCAAUGCGUGCAUGAUUUUAGAGGCAUGUCUUUCUUCAUCCCAAUCAGUGCCUCUCUUUUGGCUAGAAUUUGCAGCCCUUUCUCGCUCAUGUGACCGAGCCGUUUAUGCCAUAGCUCGAUUGAGUCUUCUGCGAGAGCAUUUACGUACCCAUUACUAACUUUUGCAUGUGUCAUGUAUAGGGUGUUCUCCUUCUUCCCUCGUGCUAGGACAAGAAAGUUCUUGCUGAGUUUCCAUUUCCCUUCAGCAAAGACAUUGGUGUAUCCUUCAUCGUCAAGUAAUCCAGUGGAGAUUAGAUUGAGACGCAUGUCUGGAACAUGUCUCACAUCCUUGAGAACCAAGUGACAACUUGUGUUGGUUUCAAGGGAAAUAUCUCCUCUUCCCACGAUCUUGGACAAUUUGUCAUUUUCCAUCCUCACAUUACCAAAAUCUCCAUUGGUGUAAGAUGUAAAGAAGUCCCUCCGUGAGGUAACAUGAAAUGAUGCACCAGAGUCCACUAUCCAACAUGUAUCUUGAGAUGACAAAUUAACGAAGCCAUCACCACAUAGAAUAAUUACCUCAUUUCCACCAGAGGUAGUUGCGGUCGUGUGCCGGGCAUCACUUUUUUCGUUACCUCUAUCUUGCUCUCGUUUAAACAAUCUGCACUCUCUCUUCAUGUGGCCUAUCCCGCCACAAUGGUAACAUUCUAGGUCCUUUCUUGUCUUGAACCUUCCUCUCGAGCCAUCUCUUGGCCUGCCCUUUGACUUGUCUCGUCUGUGGAAUUUUCUAUUGUUAGUUCUUCCACGAUACUCUGAGACGAGGGCUUCUGACUCGGCUACUACACCUUGUUCUUUCCUCCUUGCUUCUUCAUUGAACAUGCUAUCUUUAACUAUGUCCAAUGUAAGAACGCCUUGAGGAGCUGAAUUGCUUAAGGAUACAACUAGUGUAUCCCAGCUAUCAGGCAAAGAGCUGAGUAACAUUAAUGCUUGUAACUCAUCAUCAAUCACCAUCUUCAUAUUCGUCAACAGGUUGAUCAAACCUUGGAAGUCACUGAGAUGCUCGGUAACACUUCGACCAUCUCUGUACUUAAGGUUUACCAACCGUCGGAUAACCGAUGCUUUAUUUUGAGCGGUCUUCCGCUCGUACAUGGACGACAAUUUUGUCCAUAAUUUGUAUGCAUCCGUCUCUUGUGCCACAUGGUGGAACACACUUUGAUCCACCCAUUGUCGGAUUUGUCCGACAACUUUUCUAUUCAGAAUGCUCCAUGCAUCGUCUGACUUCCCUGCUGGUUUUUGUCCCAGCAAUUGAAGAGGCUCAUACAAAUCCUUGCAGUAAAGGAUGUCCUCCAUUCUUGGAUUCCAAAUGGAGUAAUUGGAUGCAGUCAAUUUUAACAUUGUUGCUAAUGAUGAUGAUGAUGACUCCUCCAUCUUAAAUUACACAAGAAUAUAAUUUUUGAGCCGAAGCUCUGAUACCACUUGUUGGGAAAGAUUGCGAAAAAUCAAAGAGCCAAUAAAUAAAUAUGGCACUCCCAGGAUCUGACUUCUCCCAGCCUUGUGUAAAUAAAAUGGACAAAAUUAACACUCUAUAUUCCACUAAGAAAAAUAAUGGGAAUACAAAAAUAAUCUCACCAAACACCGGUGGCUAAACUCUCUCUUGGUUUUUCUCUCAAGAGGAUUUUUUCUCUCACACAAGUGAGGUUUUCUUAUCUCUCAAAACUAUCUAUGUUUUGGUUUUCUAAAGGAUGAUUUGAACUGAAGGAAGGCAGCUGCUUUUAUAGCCAACGUUCCUGACAAAUUGGUGGCCUUGCAUGCGAGAGAGUUUUUCUCAUUUUCUCUUCCGUUCGUUUUCUUCAAAUUUUCCCGUCCUUUCUUUUAUUUUAUUUUAAUAUUUAUUUUCCUUCUUUUUCUCUCCUCCACUAAUGAGGGAAACCCAUCAAA